UGGGGAAUAUUGGACAAUGGGCGGAAGCCUGAUCCAGCAACGCCGCGUGAGGGAUGACGGCCUUCGGGUUGUAAACCUCUUUCAGUAUCGACGAAGCGCCCGUGUGGGUGGUGACGGUAGGUACAGAAGAAGCACCGGCCAACUACGUGCCAGCAGCCGCGGUAAUACGUAGGGUGCGAGCGUUGUCCGGAAUUAUUGGGCGUAAAGGGCUCGUAGGCGGUUUGUCGCGUCGGGAGUGAAAACACUGGGCUUAACCGAGUGCUUGCUUCCGAUACGGGCAGACUUGAGGCAUUGAGGGGAGAACGGAAUUCCUGGUGUAGCGGUGAAAUGCGCAGAUAUCAGGAGGAACACCGGUGGCGAAGGCGGUUCUCUGGCAAUGUUCUGACGCUGAGGAGCGAAAGUGUGGGGAGCGAACAGGAUUAGAUACCCUGGUAGUCCACACCGUAAAACGUUGGGCGCUAGGUGUGGGGCCUAUUCCAUGGGUUCCGUGCCGCAGCUAACGCAUUAAGCGCCCCGCCUGGGGAGUACGGCCGCAAGGCUAAAACUCAAAUGAAUUGACGGGGUCAAGCGUUUCC
rnacentral:rRNA from 1 species